rnacentral:rRNA from 1 species
AGUGAACGCUGGCGGCAGGCCUAAUACAUGCAAGUCGAACGGCAGCACAGUGGAGCUUGCUCCAUGGGUGGCGAGUGGCGGACGGGUGAGGAAUACAUGGGAAUCUGCCCAGUCGUGGGGGAUAACGUAGGGAAACUUACGCUAAUACCGCAUGCGCCCUUCGGGGGAAAGCCGGGGUCCUUCGGGCCUGGCGCGAUUGGAUGAGCCCAUGUUCGAUUAGCUAGUUGGCGGGGUAAAGGCCCACCAAGGCGACGAUCGAUAGCUGGUCUGAGAGGAUGAUCAGCCACACUGGGACUGAGACACGGCCCAGACUCCUACGGGAGGCAGCAGUAGGGAAUAUUGGACAAUGGGCGCAAGCCUGAUCCAGCCAUGCCGCGUGAGUGAAGAAGGCCCUCGGGUUGUAAAGCUCUUUUGUCCGGGAAGAAAAGCAUCGGGCUAAUACCUCGGUGUUCUGACGGUACCGGAAGAAUAAGCACCGGCUAACUUCGUG